rnacentral:rRNA from 1 species
CCUGAAAGGGUAGGGUGCCCGCAAGGGAACGUGGAGACAGGUGGUGCAUGGCUGUCGUCAGCUCGUGUCGUGAGAUGUUGGGUUAAGUCCCGCAACGAGCGCAACCCUCACCCCUAGUUGCCACCGGGUAAAGCCGAGCACUCGAGGGGAACUGCCAGCGUCAAGCUGGAGGAAGGCGGGGAUGACGUCAAGUCAUCAUGCCCCUUACGUCCUGGGCUACACACGUGCUACAAUGGCCGGUACAAAGGGAUGCAAGACCGCGAGGUGGAGCUAAACCCAAAAAGCCGGUCUAAGUUCAGAUUGGAGUCUGCAACUCGACUCCAUGAAGGAGGAAUCGCUAGUAAUCGCGUAUCAGCACGACGCGGUGAAUACGUUCCCGGGCCUUGUACACACCGCCCGUCAAGUGAUCUGAGUCGGCUGUACUCGAAGUCGCUGAG